GCCGGGUGUUGUGGCAGGUGCCUGUAGUCCCAGCGACUCGGGAGGCUGAGGCAGUAGAAUUGCCUAAGCCCAAGAGCUGGAGGUUGCUGUGAGCUGUGACGCCACAGCACUCUACCGAGGGUGACAAAGUGAGACUCUGUUUCUUAAAAAAAUAUAUUGAGACAGUCUCACUUUGUCACCCUCGGUAGAGUUCUGUGGCAUCACAGCUCACAGUAACUUCAAACUGUUGGGCUUAAGUGAUUCUCUUGC
rnacentral:sRNA from 1 species